GCGGUGUCACGGAGCGCCGUUCGCAGCCGCUCAUCGCCUAUCGCGAUCCGCCGAGGGGUGACAUGGAAACAGGCACCAAAAAAUAGCAGAGCCAAUGACGAACGGCGGCCGGGUGACAGAGCGGAGCGCUCCGGAGGCGGAGAGGAGGAGCAGAGCAGUUGCCAAGUGAUCUUCUCCACAGCACCCACGAACUUUGGCCUUACAUGAAGAGGACUCAUCAAAUGCCUUGGGAGAUACAACACAGAAUUGGAAGAGAAGCAUGGAUCUCCACGGAGGGCAGUCCGCUGCAUUCUUGGUGUGUGGAGGAACGGGUCCUGUGCUCACUGUUGUUACUCCCACAUAGGCGGACUCUGUAACUGAUUAUAUGUGGGUAGGGCCCUAUUGAAAUUAAGGAGAUUCUGCAGUAGUGUGGGGUUCUGUUUGUGUGACCCCACUGUGCCUUCUUACUGUGAAUUCUGUCAGUGUAUCAUGGGUUGUGCUGGAACCUGCCUUUUGGGAUAAUUACCAAAUAAUAUAUUCCUCAAAACUUCUUAAUGGCACUGAGGCUUUGUGGAUAGUUGGUCACAUGAUGAGAAAAUUCAGCUGCCCAUCAAGACUACUUCUACCUGAUACUUUUCCUUCAAUAUCAAGAGGUUGACUAAUUUUGAUCAACAUAUGAUGCCAGCUUCCAUCAUUCAGUUGUUAAAUUUUCACACUGGAUACUUUCUCCUCAGCUGCCUCUCAUGUACUGAUUGACUCUUCCAUGAACAGAACUGUUUGCUGUCUUCCUUUAAUAUCUUCUUAGAAGCUUUAUGUACUAUGAAAUUUAUGACAGUCCAACUAGAAAAUAAGUGUGUUGUACAAGUAUACUAAUACCAAUGCUUGUCGCAGUAAUACUUUGCCUUUGUACUCUGCAGUAAUCUCUAUUGUCUCUUUACGUAGAAUUCAAGCAUGUAGACUUUUUGUUGUAUGCUUAUUCAGCGUAACGAGAAGUGAUCCAGGCUGUAGCCUUCUAGGAUUUGUUGUAAUACAAAUAAAUAAUAAUUGAAUACUCAGUAGAUACUGCAGUGUAGCCAUUGGAUUCUGCUGAGCCUUGAGUCACAUCAUAUUUGAUGCAGAGAUAAGGUGCUCCAAAUAGAGGCCUCACAAAAGGGAGAGAAGUGAGUUUCAGCCAACACAGAAAAUGCUAGCACCCCAGAGGUCUUCUCAGCUGUCAAACCCAAGUCAAUAUCUACUGGCAUUGUGUCCAGAAAGCAUCCCUCUUUAUCUUCUCCACAGCAGUAACAGCAGACUCUCCCUCCUCAGAGGGAGUUAAUGUGAGUAUUACAAAAUUCUCCAGUGUAUACAAGAGAUUAAAGGACUUCAUAUACUUCCAUAAUGUCCUUCUGCUCCUUAGUGCAUUCCCUUCCUGACACAGCUUCUCUUGGCACAGAAAUCUUGUCAAAUGCCACUUGGUUCUCUGUUGAGAAGGAGCCCACACUAGUUUUGAUUCAGUAUCUAGGUACAUUUUUGCCUCAUAUUGCUCUGUUUCCCUGGUACCUUGAAGAUAAUGAUUAUUCAGAAGAAUGGUAAGUGUGAAUUGCAACAGGAAUUCUUCAGGUAUGUCAAUGUUUCUGGAAGUGGGCCUGCUUGUGUCCCUUUUCCUUCUUUCAAAGUGACACUAAAAUGGCAGCGUACAGAUGAUAACAGAGAUGAUGAAAUGUUAGUGCUUUGCUGAUAGAGAGACAAUAGAUUGGUCUAUUGGGCUCUAUAUGCUAACUAGUCAAAUAAGUUAAAUUUAUCAGGCUAAACCAUACAAUGUAAUUACAAAUGGUUCCAUAUCUGAAUAGGAGAAGCCUGGCAAGAGCUCUGAACAAACUGACAGAGUGGACACAGUACUGCAGUACUGAAGUACUGCAGGAGGCUAGAGUGGCUAUACAGCUGAGAAGCUUGAUAGUAACAAGAGUUUUCAGUUUUCAGAGUAUGGUCUGGAUAAGCUUAACAUUAGGCCAUCAUGCAUAAGCUGUGUUUUUAACUUCCAUCAAGGGCUAACUUUUUAGCUAACUAUCUAGAGAAUCCAGUAGAACGGGGACUGCUCUUGAUUUUGUUUAGAUUAGUAACAGGACUUAGUUGACAAAGUAACUAUAGGAAAGACAAUUGGUAGUGGCAGAUAUCAAACUGAAGUUUGUCACAUUUGUGUGAGAGAAAAUGAUGAAAAUAAAUAAACAAUCCAGUAUUGUUUAACUGUAAAAAGGAAUUGCAUACCAAUGAAGAAAUCGUUCAAGUAAAAAUUAUAAGAGGCCAUGAGAGACACAGAGUGUUUGUUUUCUAAUUCUGAUCCAAGUGAAUAAGAAUUCAUGACAACUGAGAAGUAAGGGAAGUUACUAGGAAUAAAUAGACGUUUUUCAAAGAGUGAAAUUCACACAAGCAAAGAAGAGAAGAGCUUCCCAUUCUGGGAAGCUAAGCGUAGAUCUGUUGUAAGGAGGGACAAAAAGAUUUUGAGGAGAAACAGGCUAAAAGCAAAAAGUAAAAUCUAUAAGCGUUAAUUUUUCAGUUAAUUCUGUUAGCAGGACACUGAGUUUAAGAGAUAGAAUAUUUAAAGGCAAAGCCAUUGCAGAAAGAAACAUAUGGACAAACCCUUGCAUUGGCAGUUCAUUCCAGGGAGAUUAGGAACAGUCCCAUAUAAAAGUUGUUCUUUAUAAGAAAUAUUUCAAUUUUUAAAUACCAAUAAAAGAUUCUUGAACAACUUGAUUAAAUAGGCACUAGCAGAUUGCCAGAUAGCACGUUGUUCCUUCAGUAGUUUUAGAGAAAUUCUGAAAUGAAACUGGUUAUCUGUGAACUGUGUUGUAUAAUCCAUCAUUUAAAUUGGUGUUGCUGACAAAGGAAUGGAAAGCAGCAAAUGUGACACCAUUUAAAAAGGUCUCUAGGGAUGAUUGUGGACUAAUGUACUAAUAAGUCUGACUUCCAUGGCUGGCAAAAUGCCAGCAAAUGUGAUAAAGAAUAUAAUUACUAGGAACAUGGAUACCUUUUUGUACAAGGUAGUUUUGUCUUAUGGCUUUGCUUGUUACUUGAAGCAGUAAACAGAUACAUAGGAGUAGGUCACCCAAAAAUUUUUUAAAAAGGUCUGUCACCAAAGAAUGUUAACACAGUGAAGUGUUGAGAUGUGUAAGAUUCCUUGUGGAUUAAUAAAUGGUUACAAGAUAGAGACUAUAGCAACUAAUGGGUGGUUUUAAUGACACCACCUCCCAGCAGUUUGUACUGGCACAUUUUCUGGUCCACCUGUCCCUAAAUGGUAUGAAAAAGUGCAGUGAUAAUGCUUAGAGAUGAUAAAAGGUUACUGUGCAUUUGGAGUCAGAGCUGACGUUGGCCCUGAAGAGUUGCAGAAGGAUCUCACAGCACGGGCUGUGGUGCUGCAGGAGCCACAGCCAUCCCAGAGGCCAGGUAUGGCUGACCCACUGUUAAACCAGACCUGUCAGCAAGAGGGUCAUCACCUCCUCAUCUGCCAGCUCCGCAGGCUGCAGCCAGCCCUGCCGUUCAGGAGGCAGGGAUUUGCAGCUGUUCUAACAGGGACUGCAGCAUGGAAGUUCUACUUCCCUAUUUCUUAGGGUUUCACAGCCUUAGGUGAGCUUGAAAUUCAGACUUUGAUCUUGGAAUUCCUGCCUGUCACAGAGGUGAAGUUUAAUUGUUAAGCUGAUGGGUGCUGUCCGGGUGCUGUGAAAAGCCUGGUUUCUCAAGCCCCUUCCUAAUGUUUGUGUGGAUUUUUAGCAGCUCCUGCUGAUUUCCUGAAGUCAUUCUGGAUGGAGUUGAGGCAAAAUGGUACUUGAAACAAAGGAGUCAUGCUGGCAUACUAGUCAGUUUUGAGCACUGAUGAGAAUUAUGAACAAUAUAGACGUGGAUGAUGAAGAUGUGGCGUAGCUAUUGAGCAGUAACUGAAUCAGGAUUCUUCUUUUUGGAAAAACAUCGGCUGAGGAGUAAUAACGUAAGGAAGAUCUCUGAAACCAUGAAUAUGGGGAAGUAUUUAAUAGCAGACUCUAAUUCUCUAUUUCUUAGAACAGAAUAACAAGGAGCCCUUGGUCACUGUUUUCUGUAUCUUAGGUGUCCUUUAAGGCAGCAGAAGGUACCAGUUUCAUCUGCUGUAGCUUUGUGGCACAAAACUGCACAUCUCUGUUUGUCCUGGAUCAGCCGUGGCCAAAAUCCAACCCAUGUAGAAUUACAGCUUUUCUGUAGAUAAAAGUUUGUAGGCCUUAUUGUCUGAUGAUAAAUUUUUAAAUAUGAAUCAAAUGUAAAUCGGUCCCUUUUUCCUAAACCUGAAUAUAUGUAUAUAUAUAUAUACGUAUAUUUAUAGAUUUUUAAACUAUGCUUCUGUCUAAUCCUGUGUCUGUAAUGUUAUGGUCAUAUUGGCCUUGCUUCUGUUUACAAAUGUAUGGGCAAAGGCGAAUGUCAGUUUGCUGCUACUUCAGAAAGCCAGAAGCAAAUAGCAGGUCCUAAAAUCAAUCUCAGGGGAAAUCAGAUAGAAGAGCAGAAAUGUUUAAAACAGCAACCAGAAGGUCCGGAGGGAGGGAGGGAGGGAGGG